CUACAGCGAAAUGAGGAGAUCCCACGUCGGCUGCAUGAGUGUUCUUGCCAUUGCCCGUGGCUGGAGUUGCCUGAUGCCUUGAGUUUUCUGUGUCAUGGACCAUCAUGAGAGAAAAUCAUGUGCUGAGGGAGAAACCCAGCAAUGAAGGAGUAAAUAGCUGCUCUGAAGAUCAGCUUAUUAAGAGGCAGACAUCUGAAUGAACUUUUUUAAUUGUUAACUUAUAAGUUGGGAAUUUGUGAAAUGUGACAAAUAAGGAAGUAAUUGAGAAUGCCUGCUGCACUGAGAUCUGUCUCUGCCAACAUAUGCGUUCUCUGCUGUGGUGCUGUGGUAAUCCUGGUGUGGCACAGGCAGGACGAAGGAGGUGUGCAGGGGAAUAUCCACUGGAGCCAGGACGGCAGGGCCUUGAAAAUUCCAUAUGAGGAUCUCAGAGUAGAGUAAGACACCAUCAGGAGACUGGAACCUGUGCCAGCCUGCAGAGGCCUGUCCUCCAGCUGAGAACAGCUCAAGUGCAAUGUGUGCUGACCACAUGUCCUCCUGUGCCUUGUUCAUUUUUCCUUUGAGGCAAAAAGACAUGGGAAGAACCUGCCACCUCUGCCAGCUGUGCCAGAAAACUUCUUUCCUGAAGAAGUCGUGUGUGAUUGAUCUCUGAAGCAACUGCUGAGUCACAGUCCCACAAAAAACAUGGAAUUGCUGUCUGCUUGUGUUCUCUGGUAGUGAUUUUUUACCGGGAUUCUGUACCUGGCAACAGUACCUCAGCCCAUCUCUGCGUGAAUCCAGUCCAGCUCUGAAUAUCUCGAACACUAAGCACACAAAAAGAUUACUUAGAUGUUUAGGAUUUCUCUUCACAAAGCAGAUGAUACAGAUGCUCAGGAAGAUUCAGUGAAAUGGUAGUGUAAUGAUAAAGAUUUGAUUGUGCUAGUCCACCAGUUUGUGAACUUUAAGGAAAAUACUUCAGAAAUCACGGCUUGGGAUUUCUUCCCUACAGAUUAUUUUAAACUGUGCCAUAAGCAGACAGAAGAUCUCCAGCAACAUAACUUUGUGUAAAGCCCUUGUCUUCUGGGAUAGCUUGAAGGCAUUUUCUUACUAUAGAGAUGU